UCCUGGUUAACCCAGGCAGUCUCGUUAGAGUUCCCGCCUUUACGCGCUGGCAACUAACGAUAAGGGUUGCGCUCGUUGCUGGACUUAACCAAACACCUCACGGCACGAGCUGACGACAGCCAUGCAGCACCUAUACAGAGUCCCUUUCGAGCUGGUUCAUCUCUGAACCAUCACUCUGCAUUUCGAGCCCAGGUAAGGUCCUUCGCGUAGCAUCGAAUUAAACCACAUGCUCCACUGCUUGUGCGGGCCCCCGUCAAUUCUUUUGAGUUUCACCCUUGCGAGCGUACUCCCCAGGCGGCAUACUUAAUGCGUUAGCUCCAGAACAGAAAGGGUUGAGCCCCCCUACUCCUAGUAUGCAUCGUUUAAGGCUAGGACUAC
rnacentral:misc_RNA from 1 species